UGAGGAAUAUUGGUCAAUGGGCGAGAGCCUGAACCAGCCAAGUAGCGUGAAGGAUGACUGCCCUAUGGGUUGUAAACUUCUUUUAUAAAGGAAUAAAGUCGGGUAUGGAUACCCGUUUGCAUGUACUUUAUGAAUAAGGAUCGGCUAACUCCGUGCCAGCAGCCGCGGUAAUACGGAGGAUCCGAGCGUUAUCCGGAUUUAUUGGGUUUAAAGGGAGCGUAGAUGGAUGUUUAAGUCAGUUGUGAAAGUUUGCGGCUCAACCGUAAAAUUGCAGUUGAUACUGGAUAUCUUGAGUGCAGUUGAGGCAGGCGGAAUUCGUGGUGUAGCGGUGAAAUGCUUAGAUAUCACGAAGAACUCCGAUUGCGAAGGCAGCCUGCUAAGCUGCAACUGACAUUGAGGCUCGAAAGUGUGGGUAUCAAACAGGAUUAGAUACCCUGGUAGUCCACACGGUAAACGAUGAAUACUCGCUGUUUGCGAUAUACUGCAAGCGGCCAAGCGAAAGCGUUAAGUAUUCCACCUGGGGAGUACGCCGGCAACGGUGAAACUCAAAGGAAUUGACGGGGGCCCGCACAAGCGGAGGAACAUGUGGUUUAAUUCGAUGAUACGCGAGGAACCUUACCCGGGCUUAAAUUGCAGAUGAAUUACGGUGAAAGCCGUAAGCCGCAAGGCAUCUGUGAAGGUGCUGCAUGGUUGUCGUCAGCUCGUGCCGUGAGGUGUCGGCUUAAGUGCCAUAACGAGCGCAACCCUUGUUGUCAGUUACUAACAGGUUCCGCUGAGGACUCUGACAAGACUGCCAUCGUAAGAUGUGAGGAAGGUGGGGAUGACGUCAAAUCAGCACGGCCCUUACGUCCGGGGCUACACACGUGUUACAAUGGGGGGUACAGAGGGCUGCUACCACGCAAGUGGAUGCCAAUCCCAAAAACCUCUCUCAGUUCGGACUGGAGUCUGCAACCCGACUCCACGAAGCUGGAUUCGCUAGUAAUCGCGCAUCAGCCACGGCGCGGUGAAUACGUUCCC
rnacentral:rRNA from 1 species